rnacentral:rRNA from 1 species
GAGUACGCGUGGGUAACCUGCCCUUAAAUCUGGGAUAAUCUUCGCGAAAGCAUUGCUAAUACCGGAUAUUAUUCCUGAGACUGUGGUUUUGGGAAUGAAAGGUGACCUCUUCAUGAAAGUUGCUGUUUAAGGAGGGGCUCGCGUACCAUUAGCUUGUUGGUGGGGUAUGGCCUACCAAGGCGACGAUGGUUAGCUGGUCUGAGAGGAUGACCAGCCACACUGGAACUGAAACACGGUCCAGACUCCUACGGGAGGCAGCAGUGAGGAAUUUUGCGCAAUGGGGGAAACCCUGACGCAGCAACGCCGCGUGAGUGAAGAAGGCCCUCGGGUCGUAAAGCUCUGUCAAGUGGAAAAAAACACUUAUGGUUAAUAGCCAUAAGUUCUGAUGGUACCGUAGAGGAAGCACCGGCUAACUCCGUGCCAGCAGCCGCGGUAAUACGGAGGGUGCAAGCGUUGUUCGGAAUUACUGGGCGUACAGAGCGUGUAGGCGGUUUGGUAAGUCGGAUGUGAAAUCCCUGGGCUUAACCCCAGGAAGUGCAUUUGAUACUGCCGUUCUUGAGUAUGGGAGAGGAGAGUGGAAUUCCCAGUGUAGAGGUGAAAUUCGUAGAUAUUGGGAGGAACACCCGUGGCGAAGGCGACUCUCUGGACCAAUACUGACGCUGAGACGCGAAAGCGUGGGGAGCAAACAGGAUUAGAUACCCUGGUAGUCCACCCGUAAACGAUGAGAACUAGGUGUAGCGGGUAUUGACCCCUGCUGUGCCGGAGUUAACGCAUUAAGUUCUCCGCCUGGGGAGUACGGCCGCAAGGCUAAAACUCAAAGGAAUUGACGGGGACCCGCACAACGGUGGAGCAUGUGGUUCAAUUCGACGCAACGCGAAGAACCUUACCUGGAUUUGACAUCCUUUGACAGUCCUGGAAACAGGAUUUUCCAUGCUUGCAUGGACAGAGUGACAGGUGCUGCAUGGCUGUCGUCAGCUCGUGUCGUGAGAUGUUGGGUUAAGUCCCGCAACGAGCGCAACCCUUGUUUCUAGUUGCCAGUAUUAAGUUAGGCACUCUAGAGAUACUGCCUCGGUUAACGGGGAGGAAGGUGGGGAUGACGUCAAGUCCUCAUGGCCUUUAUAUCCAGGGCUACACACGUGCUACAAUGGGCUGUACAAAGAGCAGCAACUCUGCGAGGAGAAGCUAAUCUCAUAAAAGCGUUCUCAGUUCGGAUUGGAGUCU